GUAGCAUAGCAACUUAUUUAUCUAGUCUUCACUGUUUUCAGCCUGUCUCUUUCUCUGUCCCUUAUUACAUCCAGUACCUCAGUGUCUGAUACUCUUCUGUGGAUUUUAACCUGACAACACCCCUGUCAGGUCUUCUUCUGUGGGCCAUAUCCAGAGGAGGCAAUUGAUGAGACCACAGGGUAACCAGGCUGAAGAAUCAUAAUAACAGACAUUAAGAAAACUUGUAAUUGUGGGUUUGAGAUUCCAACAUGAGACAGAAUGACACUUUGGUGUCUCAGUUCUUCAGCUUCUGCUGAUGUAAACUGAGCCCCAGGUCUAGCCAAGAAGUGGAAGACAGCACAGCACAGGAGCCAGAGGACCUGUCCUCAGCAGGGUAUUUCUACAUAUGCUUCUGAACAGUGAUUCUCUGCAAACUGCUGGGCCUCAAAUUCUUGCGUGCCUUCCAGAGAGCUUCCGAAAUUGGGAGAAUUUCUUAAGUCAACUGAAUGCUAAGCCUUUUUGCCAUUAGGAAAUCUAGAGAGAAGAAGGAUGCUCCCUCAGUUUUGGGGGGACUCUGAACCCCCGGCAUCAAAGAACCACCAAAUUCUCCUCACAAGGAACCCAGUGACAAGUGACAUGAAGAAUCAGUGGCAUGCCCAGUGAAGGCCAGAUGCCUUUAGAAAACUUCUGUCCAAUGAGGUCAUGGAGCUUGUUGUGUAGUGUACUGCUGCUUCAAGUCUGUCCUAAAUUAAACAAUGUCCGUCCUUGGCUUGAGAGUUUGUUUUUAGUAGAGAUCACAUCCUCCUUUAGGCUUUCUCUGUACCUGUCAGAAACGGAAAGAGGGAACACUACCCCUUCUGUGUCUGAGCAUUGCUGUGAAAGUAAUGUGAAACAGCAGCAAGUAAUCAUCUACCUUGGGAGCAUAGUUCAGAUUAACUUGGUAAGCAACCUUAAUGUGAGCUUGAAAUUCUGAAAAACCCUUCAAGCUUUCAAAUCUGAAAGAAUAAAUUAUCUACUAAUGAUUUCUUUCUUUUAUUUUUUUUAAAAUUUCAUUCUAGAUUAACUUUAUGUCUAGAUCUGAGAAAGGGGUUUUCCAUCUCUUUCUUCCUUUGGUCUUGUUGUGCUUUCAUCUCUGCUGCAAUUCUGCUCCCCUUCAGUGUCAGUUCUCACACUCUCUCAUUUGUGCAUAUUGAUGCAUGCCUGUCCUAUGACUGCUGUCACCUGCAUGUGCCUGGUACAGGCCCCCCAUGACAUCCCUCCCCUUUUCUCUUGCUGCCUCUCUCUCUCUCUCUCUCAGACCACAGGGGCCACACCAUCACCACUUUCUCAGUGUGGCAUUUCCUUCUGUGCCUUGCUCUCGCGUGUUGUUUAUCUCUCAGAAGGAUUGCAGCUAUAGAUAGCAUCAGUGGAACUGUAUCUGUCUAGGAGCAGAUGUCUACCUCUGCCAUAUCAUCUUAAUUGCCCUGCUGUGGCUCACCUACCAGAAGCCUUUUUUUUUUUUUUUCUGUGUUACUUUUUUUCCCCCUCCAAUUUUGCAAAUGAUUAGUUCAAAACCAGCAGGACUCAGCUUAUAGUCAUAGGGAUUAGCUGGGUAUAUUUAAUCUUUUCAGGAGAGAGAAUCUUUUCAGUUGCUAACGUACUGGACAGUAUUUUCUAAGGUCUUUGAGGUUUUGUCUCAUAUUUUUAUUUUAUAGUGAAUUAGGUAAAUAUUACUGAAAGAGAAACUAGAGAAACAGGAAAUUAUUAUAAAAAUAUCAGUCAAAACCAAAGUGUUAAUGUCUGGACUAAGAGGUUAAGCAAGUAAUGUAAAUAACUAUAUAUGACAGAGACAUACUCUUACCUGUUUCUAUGGUGUUGAUAAUUUAGUUAGAAUUUUCUUUUCUUUUUUUUUUUUUUUGAGAGAGAAAAUUUAAUCACACAGCACUUCAGAAGAUUCUUCUAUGUAAAAAAAUUGAAAGGUAUUCAUUUGGCAGUCUUAAAUACAAGUGAUCCAAAUUAUACCUUUCAGUCAUUCUAGUUUUACAUUGAUCGAGAGUAAAAUAUGGAUUUGUAUUAGUUUGGGACUAAAAUUU